UUAGAAUAACGAGAACGCAGUGAACGAGAUCUUGAAGCAUUUCCGUGUCGUUUGGCCACCACUGAAAAAAGAACAAGUUCUGCCGCAGAUGGGCGCCACUGUCGCAGAGUUCUGUGCUCACGUCCCAGUUGUCACUGCCGUGAGGGUGUGAGGAGUUAAUCUCGCUCUGGAAUGAAAGAAUUUCCUGCUUCUUUGAACACAGUGCCCAUUCUUCUCGCAUAGUCGCCAUUCUAUAGGAGGGACAAUGCUUUUGAUAUAUUCACUGUUUGCUGACGAUUUCUUGAAUUCCGUAUGGGAAAAGAAAAGGCUUGACUUAUUAAUUUUGGAUAUCACAAAUAUUAACGCGCCCUAAUGUUCCUUAGCUGCUCAUUAGUAAAUUCAUAACGAUGGUGGGUACCCCGACACUUUUACUGCUUUCUUUGGAAAUAGAGAUCAUUGUUGCUCGGCUAUUCCCAAAAAAAUAAGUAAAGAACAAAUGUUUAUCUGUGACGAUCGGAUUUAUAAACGUAACUUUAAACGAAGAAAUGAAUAACUCAAAAUUUCACCUUUUUGUCACUCUUACAAGAGCAUCUUUCCCUUUGUUCACAAUCUUAUGUUUCCACUGAUAAAACGCAAAUAAAAAUCACUGCCUGUAGCAAGUAGAA